AUUGAACGCUGGCGGCAUGCCUUACACAUGCAAGUCGAACGGCAGCACGGGAGCAAUCCUGGUGGCGAGUGGCGAACGGGUGAGUCAUAUAUCGGAACGUGCCCAGUCGUGGGGGAUAACGUAGCGAAAGCUACGCUGAUACCGCAUACGAACUCUGGAUGAAAGCGGGGGAUCGCAAGACCUCGCGCGCUUGGAGCGGCCGAUAUCAGAUUAGGUAGUUGGUGAGGUAAAGGCUCACCAAGCCGACGAUCUGUAGCUGGUCUGAGAGGACGACCAGCCACACUGGGACUGAGACACGGCCCAGACUCCUACGGGAGGCAGCAGUGGGGAAUUUUGGACAAUGGGCGCAAGCCUGAUCCAGCAAUGCCGCGUGCAGGAUGAAGGCCUUCGGGUUGUAAACUGCUUUUGUACGGAACGAAACGGCGAGCUCUAAUACAGUUUGCUAAUGACGGUACCGUAAGAAUAAGCACCGGCUAACUACGUGCCAGCCGCCGCCGUAA
rnacentral:rRNA from 1 species